UAUGUACUCCCUCCGUCCGAAAAAGUUUGUCCUUCAAAUGGAUGUAUGUAGCAUCAAGUUAGUGCUAGAUACAUUUAUUUGAGAAACAAGCUUGGGACAAGUUUUUUCGAACGGAGGGAGUACAUG
rnacentral:pre_miRNA from 1 species